GGUCCUGGCAAGCAGCGGGAGGGAGUGCUGGGGAGCUGUCACAGGGUGCCAUACUCAGCAACAAAGGGACCAUUAUCUGCUGCUGCUGCCGCUGCUAUGGCAAUGCUGCAUGCACAUGUGGGGCCUGAGAACUGGGGCUGCCACAUGGAUGUCAGGCUGCGCACGGGCGGGUACUGAAAGAACUGGACAGGUUAUGAAGUCAUCGGUUGCUACUGACAUUUCACCUAUAUACAUUUUGUCUAUGUUAACAGGAGUUACAUGUACUGGAGGUAUUGGAUAUAUAAACCAGUACAUACAUCAAGAAUACACAACUAGAAUUUGUUAAGUGUUCAUGGGGUUUCUCAUAUAUUUCCUGCCAGGCAAGCCUACAACUGCAAAUGCAUAUGGCUGUCUGAAAAUAAAAGCUCUCUCAAGUCAGAAGUUCAAAAGGUGAAGUUAGAAGCUGUCUCAUCAAAUCCAGGCGAUGCUAAGAGAAUUAAGUGAGGUGGAACCAUGGAGUUCAUGUCCCUUCACACCUGCUGUAGACUCUAGAAACCC